UUGGGGAGGGAAUGUGGAGAAACCUCCGUGAGGAAAAUGCGCGCGAAGUGACGCGAUACGCGCAGCUCUACAAGUGCUCUGACCAUAUUCCACGAACAGCGCGAGAACCGGGGCGCGAAAACGAUUCGCCCUUUUGAGGGGACAAACAUGACUGUGGUGCCCGGGGAGAACCUCGACGAGACUGUGGCAUUGGCAGCCCUGUCCCAAGAUGUUUACGACCCUGAACGGGCGGACCAGGAGUGCUGCGAACGGGUGGUUAUCAACAUCUCCGGGUUGCGCUUCGAAACCCAACUAAAAACACUGGCGCAGUUCCCUGCCACCUUACUGGGUGACCCCAGGAAAAGGAUGCGCUUCUUCGACCCUCUGAGGAACGAGUACUUCUUUGACAGGAACCGACCGAGUUUUGAUGCCAUUCUUUACUACUAUCAGUCUGGAGGCAGGCUGAGGAGACCCGUCAAUGUUCCUGUGGACAUCUUUAUGGAGGAGAUCAAAUUCUACGAGUUGGGAGAAGAAGUCAUUGAGAAUUUUAAGGAGGACGAGGGUUUCAUCAAGGAGGAAGAGCGACCUCUGCCCGAAAACGAGUUUCAGAGACAGGUCUGGCUGCUGUUCGAGUACCCCGAGAGCUCUGGACCCGCCAGGGGCAUCGCAAUCGUCUCGGUGCUCGUGAUUUUGAUAUCAAUUGUCAUCUUUUGCUUGGAGACUUUACCUGAGUUUAGGGAAGACGGGAAAAUGAAUGAGGAUCAGUCCGCUAUCAAUGGAACUGCUAGUUCAAAGAAGCCCAAUCCAUUCACAGACCCCUUCUUUAUUGUGGAGACCCUUUGUAUAAUCUGGUUCUCCUUUGAACUGCUCGUGAGGUUUCUCGCGUGCCCAAGCAAGCCCGCCUUCUUCAAGAAUAUCAUGAACACAAUCGACAUCGUGGCUAUUAUUCCCUACUUCAUCACCUUGGGUCUGGAGUUGGCCGAGCAUCAGGGCAACGGCCAGCAGGCCAUGUCUCUGGCAAUCCUGAGGGUCAUUCGCUUGGUGCGGGUGUUCCGCAUAUUCAAGCUUUCCAGACACUCGAAAGGGCUUCAGAUCUUGGGUAAGACCCUGCAAGCGAGCAUGCGGGAACUGGGUCUCCUCAUAUUCUUCCUUUUCAUUGGAGUUAUACUGUUCUCCAGCGCCGUGUAUUUCGCCGAGACGGACGACCCCGACUCGGGGUUCAGCAGCAUCCCCGAUGCCUUCUGGUGGGCAGUGGUUUCCAUGACAACUGUGGGCUACGGGGACAUGUGCCCCGUCACCAUCGGUGGCAAAAUAGUGGGCUCCUUAUGUGCCAUCGCUGGUGUGCUCACCAUUGCGCUUCCAGUGCCCGUCAUCGUGUCCAAUUUCAAUUACUUCUAUCACAGGGAGACCGAGCACGAGGAGCAGAUGCAGUAUACGCAUGUAACGUGUGGCCAGCAGCAACCCUCGUUUGGUGAAUUUAAAAGGAAUGACAGCAAAGCGUCCCUUUCUAAAUCAGACUAUUUGGAUUCAGAGGAUGGAGAUUCAGUCAAGUACACCAACUGCAGCCCCCAUAAAGCAUACACAGGGAAGCUUACUGAUGUAUGAAUGUAGACCGCCAACAAUUAUAAACCCAAAGAAGCGCACCUUUUUCUGUGAGUACAUCCUCAUCCCUCGCGCUGGCUUGAGUAGAUGUGUAAUAAUAUGAGGAACACUUCAUUUGGAAACGACGACAGUGGAUUUUACUAUGACGUGAUGUGCGAUUGUUUUCUAAACUGUCUUCCAUUGUUGUGAUUGUAGAUCAUCGAAGCGCGAGACGUAGUGGCGCAAAGAUAAAAUAAAAAGAAUCAAAUAGAGCGUAUGUCAUAUAAGCAAGGCCGAUUAAAUCAAUGUGUAGCACUUUAUUCGUACUCUUAGUCAACAAAUUCUUUGUCGCGUGAUCCGUAGUUUUUCAACUAAUUUGGUGUCAGUGCGAUACAGAAGUUUACAUACAAAUCUGCUUAUUUGAAAGAAAUAGUAGGACCAAUAUAUAGAACUUUUUUUUUUCGAACGAGGACAGUUAAACUGCAAGGUCAUUUCGGCAAAAGAAAAACGACUCGCCCAAGCUUAUUUUUAAAAUGGAAACUGGUAUUAUUAUUACAAUUAUAAAAUCUUGUUGCGUAGUGUAACGUCACAUUUGGAAAUGUGAGAAAUACGUAUCUUCGUGCUUUUUUGAGAACGAUCAGUAGAAGAGCAAACCAGCUUUGUGAUUUUUAAUUUUAGGAACUGCAUUUUCAGGUUGGGUCAUAAUAAUACCAGUGGCACUGUAUUAGCAUUAAAAGGUUAUGGCAUCUUAAAAUUACUUGAUAACUUUAUUCGCACUAUGUAGAUGCACUUCAGGGAUAGACUUACGCUGGUAAGCAACAUGAAGCUUAUUCAUUUCUUCAUAUUAUCAACAGAUGUGUAGAAAAUGAAUGAGGAGAGGCUCAAUUUCAACAAUGUGCGCUCAAAUGUGGACACGAGUUCUUUUUAAAAUACACUAGCGUUAUCUAGUGGACAAACGUGGAAACUGCAGUCUUUAAGAUACUAAAUGUGUUUCCAUAGCAACUUUCCAGAGGGUUCUGGAGACAUUGGGCUAUUAUUGUUCCCUUAAUUUAUUCACGUGAAAGAUGGCUUUUGGUGCUUUUUUUUUUUUUUUUUUUUUUUUUUUUUUUUUUAACAAGGUACAUUCGUGAAGUCAGUUAAAUGAAAGGCAUUUAGGUAGGGCGGUUUACAUUCUAAUUAGGCCUAGUUAAACUAAAAGAGCCCACAGACGCUUAUCCAAUAUACCAAAUGUGAAUACAAAGUAACAAUAUAACAUCAUAUAGCAUGCACCCAUAAAAAUGAAGAAAUGUCUGCACUGCAACAGCGUCAAGAGGGGAUCAUGAAUUCAGCACAUAAAGGGAUUCAUUAUGACAUCACUGUGAGGAAGGAAAAACUCAUUCGCCUAUUGGCUGGACUAGGAGAAUCAACUCAUGCAAUGUCAAUAAUGGACUAACUGAAAAUGGAAAUAAAUGCACAUAUUUCUGGACAUACCACAUCAUCAAGAUUUUUUUACUUUUUGCUCCUUUUAAUUGGAUUUUCACAUUAACAAGAAGAGUUCAGGCAGGAGGAGGUACAGUCAUGUACAUGGACUUCCUGUGCAAGAGAUCUGCAUAUACAUGCAGCACAUUACCAUCAAGGACAAUAUGAACCUUCACCGGAGCAGCACUACGUUGGACAAACUUCAUCUUCGCAUUUAAACAGCAUUCACUUGUUCCUAUCGAAGGAAUUAUGUACAAUGCCUCAAAAGGAAUCAUAUUGUCAAAUGUGGAAUCUAACCAUGAAGAAAAAGGACAACAUGGUAAAGAUAACGAAGAUGCUUUGAAGUGCACUGAGGUAGAAACUAUUUACUUGAAAUCACAGAGUACAUGCACAAACAAUUUGUCAGAUGCAUCCGUAGAUUUAUCUGCCCCCAAAAACAACAACAUGCUACUGGGACAGGUUUGUGUGUGUGAGUAUGUACAUGUGAAUUUGUGUCUUCAGACCAGUAAUAUGUCAAGUUCAAACGUUACAGAUCAUGUGCUAUACCAAAACAUAUUAUGGAAUGCAUGGGAAGUUGGACAUGGAAUAAAUCUUGAUUAUUAUGUUAAUUUAUUAAUUUUGUUUGGUCAACAAACUCAGUAGUCAUAUUAAGUGGGAACAACUAUCAGUGACAACAAAUUACUUGACUGUUGAGGUUAACAUUGUUAAAUAUCUAUUUUUUUAAAGUAUCAUAGGUUUUAUAUGAAAUGGAAUCGGUUAAACUGGUGAAAGGUUAUUUUUCUAGCUUUUUAAAAUUUUGCUAAAUCAUUUUCAAUUUUCUUUCUUUUUUCACUCUGUUUUUUUUUUUUU